GUCAGAGUUUAUCCUGGCUCAGGAUGAACGCUAGCGGCAGGCUUAACACAUGCAAGUCGAGGGGUAUAGUUCUUCGGAGCUAGAGACCGGCGCACGGGUGCGUAACGCGUAUGCAAUCUACCUUUUACAGAGGGAUAGCCCAGAGAAAUUUGGAUUAAUACCUCAUAGUAUGUGAGAAUCGCAUGGUUUUUCACAUUAAAGUUCCAACGGUAAAAGAUGAGCAUGCGUCCCAUUAGCUAGAUGGUAAGGUAACGGCUUACCAUGGCAACGAUGGGUAGGGGUCCUGAGAGGGAGAUCCCCCGAC
rnacentral:rRNA from 1 species